AAAUGCAUUGCAUUGCACAAAAAACUCUCUAUAUAAAAAAUACAUAUAUACAUAUGAAUAUUUGAGGCGGUCUUGUUUCUUGUUUCCACACUGAUUGGUGUUUCUGUGUCUCCUGCAGCUGAGUACCAGCUGUUGUGUGGAAAUCAGGCUCCCGGGUUCAUCAUCGAUAUUCACACCGGAAAACCCAUCGAUAUCGACGAGUGCCGUGAGAUCCCUGGAAUCUGUGCGAACGGCGUCUGCAUCAACCAGAUCGGCAGUUUCCGCUGCGAGUGUCCCAUGGGCUUCAGCUACAACAACAUCCUGCUCAUCUGCGAAGAUAUGGACGAGUGCAACAGCGGCGACAGCCUGUGCCAGCGCAACGCUAACUGCAUCAACAUCCCCGGCAGCUACCGCUGCGAGUGUUCGGCCGGCUUCAAGCUGUCGCCCAGC